UGGACAUGUGCAACAGCCAUGCUUUCCUCUCCAGAAGCCGGGGAACCUCAGCAAGAUCAGAACAGAAGGAAACUGAAGAGAGGAGCCAUAUUCACUAUUUCUUCUCUGCUCCUCCCAGCGAUGCUGCAGAGAGCCAGGAGUCUGGUCAACAUCCUGCCUCUGACUGCAGAGUUGUGUGCAGCACCAGUCACACUUGAGACCCAGUCACACCCUCUGUUCAAGAUGGCUAUGAGUCCCAGAGAGAAAUAGAGAAGUGAAGAAAUCUCCAUUACUUUACCCUACUGCCACUAUGAGAUUCUGCUCAAACACAGGACCAGGAAUCCAUAGACCAUCGGAGACCAUGAACCCAAAGAAGUUCUUCCCUUCAGUUGUCUCUGCCUUGUGUUGGACCUCAGCGAUGAGAAAGUGAUGAAACACAUUGAAAUAAGGACACAAAUGUUAGUGUCUGAUGACAUGUUCUCUGAGAGUACCGGAAUUCCACAUAAGGGCUUUAGCCUGGACCUGCAGAGGUCACAGGAGGUCCUACAAGGUUGUUUCAGUGCAUUCACAGGGACAUGUGCAUGCCUGUGUGUAUAUGUCUUUCCACGUAUGCACGUGAGGGUCCCUCAGACAGCACAGGCUCCUUGGAAGUUGCCAUUGUGUAAAUCCCAGAGCCCAGCUUGUCUUGACCAUCGCAAACACCUGAGCAUCUACAGUGUAGACCCACAUGUUCUGAAACCACGCCAUUAUCUGACUCUACCUGUCUUGAUCCACCCUGAGUUACAGAAUGAAUUUGUUGUUGAAUUUUAAUGCCAGUCACUAUUAUUUAAUUUAUACCAAGUAAUUCCGGAAAGAAAAAAGAUGCCUGUCCAAAGAGGUGUAAAUCUGAUACCUGACUGAUCUUUUAAG